UGAGGAGUAUUGGUCACGAGGAGUAUUUUGCAAAAAGAAUGGACCAAAUUGGAGCUUUGUAUCAAAAGUUAUGUCACUUUGAACUUCCAUGCACACCUUGUGAUCAUUUGGCUAUAACUUCUCAACCAAUCAUCAUAUGAUCAUGAAAUAGGACGUUUUGGAAAGGGGAGACAAAGAUCUACAACUUUCAUGUUCACUAAAAAUCC
rnacentral:lncRNA from 1 species